GACGAACGCUGGCGGCGUGCCUAAUACAUGCAAGUUGAGCGCUGAAGGUUGGUACUUGUACCAACUGGAUGAGCAGCGAACGGGUGAGUAACGCGUGGGGAAUCUGCCUUUGAGCGGGGGACAACAUUUGGAAACGAAUGCUAAUACCGCAUAAAAACUUUAAACACAAGUUUUAAGUUUGAAAGAUGCAAUUGCAUCACUCAAAGAUGAUCCCGCGUUGUAUUAGCUAGUUGGUGAGGUAAAGGCUCACCAAGGCGAUGAUACAUAGCCGACCUGGGAGGGUGAUCGGCCACAUUGGGACUGAGACACGGCCCAAACUCCUACGGGAGGCAGCAGUAGGGAAUCUUCGGCAAUGGACGAAAGGCUGAACGAGCAACGCCGCGUGAGUGAAGAAGGGUUUCGGAUCGUAAAACUCUGUUGGUAGAGAAGAACGUUGGUGAGAGUGGAAAGCUCAUCAAGUGACGGUAACUACCCAGAAAGGGACGGCUAACUACGUG
rnacentral:rRNA from 1 species